GCUCAUUGAAUCUGUGGGGACAGAGUAAGUGCCUCUCAAUCAUAUUUUCAACACAUGACAACAUUUUCUUAUUAUACACAUGGCAAUCAUUUGAUUCUUUUGCAGAAACUGGAUCCUUCGCGGAAAUGGCCGUAAACCGAACGGCCUUAUCACUGUCAUGUUGAAGCACUUUUGGCCUGGCCUAUUCUGCCCGCGGCCAGACAGGGACCCGCAGCUGCGGGUUUUGGCCACGAGGUGGACCCACUACGAGGCUUGCAGCAACGCGGAGUACGGGACGGCCGCUAAGGCCGUGAUCACCAAAUUUUGGGUAAGUUCUCUUCUAAAUCACUUGUCUUCAGUUUCGUUCAUAGUUUAUCAUUGGAUCACUCAACUCAUGCCUUGUUUGCUUCUGGUUUAUGCAGCAACUCUAUAGAGUUCUUGACGAGCACAAGGCCAGAGCCGACGUGGUCUUGCUUGCGGCUGCGAAGAAGAAAGCUCGUCAGUUGCAGUACGAGGUGCGCUGGGUUGCCGUCUCGCAGUACUACCACUACUACCUGCACCAAAAGAUGACCAAAAGUCAAGCGCAGAAGCAGCGACUUACCUUGAACAGGGAGCAGUUCAUGAUGGUAACUAUUACUAACUUUUCAUUGUUUCAAGCAGUCAACUCUAUGUUUCGUGCUCACAUGUCAUGCUUCCAAAAUUUGCAUAGGUUGUUCCUCGUUGGUGCUAUGGAAGGCAUGACGGAUGGGCGAGUUUGGUGGAUAGGUGGCUCGGCACCGAUGCAGAGUUUGCUGCCAAGAGCAUCAAGGGCCGGGCUAACCGUGGAGCCGACGGGACACACGGCCAAGGAAACAGGAACCACUGGAGCUUCAAGGCCAUGAAGGUAUAUCUAUGUGCAUGAUGCAUUUUUGUUCUUCUUUACCGUCAUGUUCUUAUGUAUGGCUAACUUCUAUUUGACGUUGUAGGAGGACAAGUUGAAGAGGCCGCUCUCAGACAUGGAGUCGUGGAAGCUGGCCCGCGAGCGGAGUCGUCGCAAGGAGGGCGAGAGCCAGUACUACGGCAAGACCGAGGAGCACCUGGGGUCUUACAUUCAUCACUAUCAGGAGUUGCAUCCGGAUGUUCCUGUUGCCGAGGUCGCCCAGUCUCAGAUCGACGACACGGCGGUGGUGGCCAUCCAGGGGAAGAAGAAUGGCCGGUAUCCGUGUUUCGACGACUUGAUCACUCCUUCGAUCUCGUACACACAGCUUCGGGCUAGCAACCCGAGCCAGUUAGAGAGUACGGGGCGUUCACAGACUCCUUUAGCCCGCCAGCAUGCUGUAAGUACUUCCUCUUUAUCUUUUUCUAUCUAGCAUUCUCAGUUUAUUUUCAGCAUUGCUCACUUAGAAACAAUCUAAAUUAUGUAGGCAUAUAAGGAGUUUGUCGAGCAUAGGAAUCUCGAGGUGCGGGAGUACUUGAAACGAGUGAAGGCAAACGAUGAUUACAACCGUCAGAUGAUGACGGUUAGUUCUGCCCUCUUAAAACCAAGCUAAAUUUUUGCACUUUCAUUCCUUUUGAUCUUCUAGUUUGCUUGUUUAACUAACAUUCAGGCUAUGUUGGCGUCUUGGAGUAACGGCACGGGUCCACCACAAAUGGGACCCCCACCACCACCUGCAGGAGAACCCCCACACGUGCCCACGUUCGAUGAAUGGGUGGCACUAGGCAGUGAUGGUCCGGUUAGUACAUUUGCCUAACUACUGACAAACUAGUUCUCGUUCAUUCAACACUAUCAUAUCAUAUUUACUGUUAGAAUCUUUUCUGAAACAUGUAGGGGACCGGUGGCUCGACUCCUGCUCCGUCGACCCCAGUCACUCCGAUCUGGCAGAGUGGUGGUGGUCGCGAUGGCAGUUUUGGCGGAGGUGGUGUUGGUUUUGGCGGAGGUGGUGGUUUUGGCGAAGGUGGUCUUGCUUGAUGAUUCCGUGCAUGUGGCCGUCGUGCCAUGCCUUUCAUAUUCCUACUUUUAUGAUGUUUCAUGUCUUGCACUACUUUUAUGUUCAUGAACUUGAGUCGGUGAUGAUCUUUAGAUGAUGUGAUGAACUUGAGUAUGUUUAGAUGAUGAUGGUGAACUUGAGUAUGUUUAGAUGAUGAACUGUCAUAUUUCUGCAUAAUUUCAUAUUGUUCUGUUUUGAAAUGCUGUCAAAUGAAUUGGAAAAGAGAAAACAGGGAAAAAAAACCUAUGCCUACGGCAAAGCCGUCGGCAUAUAUAAGCCCAGGAGUCACCAGGGCUUGCCACGUGGCGGAUCUAUGCCGACGGCUUUGACGUAGGCAUAGAUGAAAAUCUAUGCCGACGGCAAAGCCGUAGGCAUACCUCUGCUGCCAGGAGUAACCAGAAGACGACACGUGGCAGAGCUAUGCCUACGGCAAAGCCGUAGGCAUAGAUUACGGCUUUGCCGUAGGCAUAGCCCUGCCACCAAGAGUACCACUGGUUGCCACGUGGCAGAUGUAUGCCGACGGCAAGGCCGUCGGCAUAUAUCUGCCACGUGGCAUUGCAUGAUUCAUCCGCGUUUUUGACGGCGCCGUCCGUUGCCGUCAGACGAAAAAGACUGCCGACGGCUAUACUAUGCCGACGGCUGACGCUAGGCCGUCGGCAUAGGCCCCUAUGCCGACGGUCUGACAAGACUACGCUGACGGCAUCUACGCCGACGGGUCUAUGCCGAUGGCAGCCGUAGGCAUAGACCUAUGCCGACGGCUUGGGGGCCUAUGCCGACGGCCCUUGACCGUAGGCAUAGACCGCGAGUCCGGUAGUGUCGGUCGUGGUCUUCGCGCACACCUCCUGUGCAUCACCACCUUGGCCAUGCGGAGGAGAGAUGGGGAGCCGCCGCCGGGAGACGAGAUGAAGGCCGGCGCCGGGAGCGAAGAUGCGUUGGGGGCUCCGGCGAGGGACAGGAGCGCUGCCCCGCUGCUCGACAAUU
rnacentral:lncRNA from 1 species